rnacentral:rRNA from 1 species
AGUGAACGCUGGCGGUAGGCCUAACACAUGCAAGUCGAACGGCAGCACAGUAAGAGCUUGCUCUUACGGGUGGCGAGUGGCGGACGGGUGAGGAAUACAUCGGAAUCUACUUUUUCGUGGGGGAUAACGUAGGGAAACUUACGCUAAUACCGCAUACGACCUACGGGUGAAAGCAGGGGAUCUUCGGACCUUGCGCGAUUGAAUGAGCCGAUGUCGGAUUAGCUAGUUGGCGGGGUAAAGGCCCACCAAGGCGACGAUCCGUAGCUGGUCUGAGAGGAUGACCAGCCACGCUGGAACUGAGACACGGUCCAGACUCCUACGGGGAGCAGCAGUGGGGAAUAUUGGACAAUGGGCGCAAGCCUGAUCCAGCCAUACCGCGUGGGUGAAGAAGGCCUUCGGGUUGUAAAGCCCUUUUGUUGGGAAAGAAAAGCAGCAGGUUAAUACCCCGCUGUUCUGACGGUACCCAAAGAAUAAGCACCGGCUAACUUCGUG